AGACUCUGGUUAACUAAUUUCUCCUGUGGGCAGACUUUAUUAAGAAGAAUAAGAGCAUGCUCUGACGCACUUCGAAAUGGUUCCUCUUCUCCUGUUGCUGCUGAAAGCACAGGGGGAUUUUUCUCUAGUACUUAAAGUGAGAAACUGCAUGAGCUCCUGGAAGUAAAACUCACUAACCUGUGGGAGCUCCCCCACCAUGACUGGGUUCCCCUGGAGUUUUUAAAUGUCAGAAUUGUCCACACUGAGCCUCCAGCAAUUCGUCAGUUCCAGUUUGGUGUUCCUAUUGCAGCUGGUUCUCUUGCCAGUUUCUGUGCAUGAGACAGCUCAGAUUUUGGUAUUUCAUUGACCAUAAUAAGUUGAAUCAUGACCCCUAAAAGAUAGCUCCAUGCCCUAAUAAUUAGAAUGUCUGAAUCAUUAUCUAGUAUGGAAAAAGAAGAAGGCAAGGGAGAAGGCAAUAACAAACCACUUCAGUAUUUUUGUCUUGAGAACCCCAUGGACAGUAUGAAAAGGCAAAAAGGUAUGACACUGAAAGAUGAACUUCCCAGGUCGGUAGGUGCCCGGUAUAUGCUACUGGAGAAGAGUGGAGAAAUAACUCCAGAAGGAAUGAAGAGACAGAGUAAAGCGAGAGGAAAAAAAAAAAAAAAGCCCAGUUGUGGAUGUGACUGGCGAAGGAAGUAAAAUCCCAUGCUGUAAAGAACAGUACUGCAUAGGAACCUGGAAUGUUAGCUCCAUGAAUCAACGCAAAUUGGAAGUGGUCAAAUGAGAUGGCAAGAGUGAAUGUCAACAUUCUAGGAAUCAGCGAAUGGAUGAAUUUAACUCAGAUGACCAUUACAUCAACUACUGUGGGCAAGAAUCCCUUAGAAGAAAUGGGGUAGUCCUCAGAGUCAACAAGAGAGUCUGAAAUGCAGUACUUGAAUGCAAUCUCAAAAAUGACAGAAUGAUCUCUAUUCAUUUCCAAGGCAAACCAUUCAAUAUCACAGUAAUCCAAGUCUAUGCCCAAACCAGUAAUUCUGAAGAAGCUGAAGUUGAAUAGUUCUAUGAAGUCCUAAAAGACUUCUGGAACUAUCUCCCAAAAAAGAUGCCCUUUUCAUUAUAGGGGACUGGAAUGCAAAAGUAGAAAGCCAAGAGAUAUCUGGAGUGAUGGGCAAGUUUGGUUUUGGAGUACAAAAUGAAACAGAGAAAAGGCUCACAGUUUGCCAAGAGAACGCACUGGUCAUAGCAAACACCCUCUUCCAACAACACAAGAGAUGGCUCUACAUGUGGACAUCACUACAUGGUCAAUUCAAAAUCAGAUUGAUUAUAUUCUUUGCAGCUAAAGAUGGAGAAGCUCUAUACAGUCAGCAAAAACAAGACCGGGAGCUGACUAUGGCUCUGAUCAUGAACUCCUUAUUGAAAAAUUUUGAUGUAAACUGAAGAAAGUAGAGAAAACCACUAGACCAUUCAGGUGUGACCUAAAUCAAAUCCCUUAUGAUUAUACAGUGGGAGUGGCAAAUAGAUUCAAGGGAUUAGAUCUGAUAGACAGAGUGCCUGAAGAUUGUAUAGGAGGCCGUGAUCUAGAUCAUCCCCCAGAAGAACUGCAAAAAGGUAAAAUGG
ensembl:lncRNA